UGUAAGCGUAUACCAAAGUUGUUGCAGUUAAAACGCUCGUAGUCGGAAUUUGGCAGUUCCGGAUGUGUGCACGUCGUGUGCGCACUUCGCGGGGAUUGCUUUUGUGGUCUUGCGUAGGAUGAGGCACUUUUAUUAGUGAACGUCCUCACGCAACCACUUUUUACUGUGAGAAAAUCAGAGUGCUCAAAGCAGGCAUUUGCCGUGAAUGUAUUAGCAUGGAAUAAUAGAAUAGGACUUGGUUCUAUUUUGCUGGUUUGUUGGGACUGAGUAAUGAUUAAGAGGGACAGUUGGGGGCAUUUGUAUUUCGGCGCUAGAGGUGAAAUUCUUAGAUUGCCGAAAGACAAACUGCUGCGAAAGCGUCUGCCAAGGAUGUUUUCAUUGA
rnacentral:rRNA from 1 species